rnacentral:tRNA from 1 species
GGAUAAGUAGCAAACGUGGUGUAUGCGUUGCACUGAAGAUGCAAAGACAGUGGUUCGACUCCACUCUUAUCCA